UAAGUUCCGACCCGCACGAAGGGAGUAACGACUUGAGCACUGUCUCGACAGAGGACUCGGCGAAAUUGAAGUACCCGUGAAGAUACGGGUUACCCACGACAGGACAAAAAGACCCCGUGGAGCUUUACUACACCUUGGCCUCGAGUCGAGGCGGUGCAUGCGUAGGAUAGGUGGGAGCCGGCGAACUCUUCCUUGCGGGGAAGAGGGAGGCACUGGUGAAAUACCACUCUUGCACGGUUUUGCCUCUCAUCGUCAGCCGUGAGCCGGCGACGAGACAGGGCCAGGCGGGUAGUUUGACUGGGGCGGUCGCCUCCUAAAAAGUAACGGAGGCGCUCAAAGGUUCUCUCAGGGUGGAUGGACAUCACCCUCAAAGAGUGUAAAGGCACAAGAGAGCCUGACUGCAAGGCGGACAGGCCGAGCAGGGACGAAAGUCGGACUUAGUGAUCCCACAUUCCCGAGUGGAAGGAGUGUGGCUCAACGGAUAAAAGCUACCCCGGGGAGGGCUGGAGUAGGUCCCAAGGGUUGGGCUGUUCGCCCAUGAAAGCGGCACGCGAGCUGGGUUCAGAACGUCGCGAGACAGUUCGGUCUCUAUCCGUCGUGGGCGUAGGAAGAUUGCGAGUGGUCAUCUCCAGUACGAGAGGACCGAGAUGGCUCGACCGCUGGUGUGCCAGUUGCUCUGCCCGGAGCACCGCUGGAUAGCUAUGUCGAGAAAGGAUAAGCGCUGAAGGCAUCUAAGCGCGAAGCCGCCCUCCAGAUGAGUCUUCCCACUUGUGCGCAAGUGAAGAUCCCGGGGAGACCACCCGGUGGAUAGACCACGCAUGCACGCCUGGUAACAGGUGCAGUCAAGUGGCCCUAAUGAUCGUACGGCUUGUC
rnacentral:rRNA from 1 species